UGUCUGGUUGGUUGGUGGAACGAUUUGUCUGGUUAAUUCCGACAACAAACGAGGUUUGUUAAAUAGGUGUGUGGUGCUCUGCACCCUCCCCAUUUCUUAGAGGAACAAGUGACUCCUAACCGCACGAAACAAAGCAAUAACAGGUCUGUGA
rnacentral:rRNA from 1 species